AACCCACUCCCUUUUGAGUUUGGGAUAUGCGUGUGUGAAUAUUUGGCAUCAGAAACGAGGGGGUUAAAAAGGAAGAGAGCAUUAUGGGAGAGGAGAGGAGGAGAGGGUGUGAAACUCUAGAAAAGAAAAGACUGAAGAGAAGGGAGGUUGGGUUUCAUCAAGAACGAGGGCAAAUGGCAAGAAUAACUAUGAUGAUCCUUUGAUCCUUCUAAAUAUAUGCCCUAUUUCGUAGAGUAUAAGAGAGGGAAAUAGAGAAUGGAAUGAACCAUCAUCCAAUCUGAUUAGUAUUUAUUUAUCUAUUGUCUUUUUGAGUCCGAAAUCACUUCUUCUUCGUCUCUCUUUUGCUCCCCUUUCAAUUAAUUACACCCAUCACCUAUCACCCUCCACCCCGCUCCUCUCUCUCUUAUUUACUAUGCUACCGUCCUCACCUCUCAUCUUAAAUAUACCCAUCUGCUCUUAUGGCUUCAUCCAUCCUCUAUUAUUCUCUGCUGGCCUCCUCCAUCUUGUAUUAUCUUCUCCGUUCUAAAAUAAUAAUUCACUUAUUUAGUUUAAGAUUUUUGAAUUAAUUAUUUAUGUUUCUAUUAAUAAAAUUAAUAAGGUAAAAUAAUAAUACUCGUAAAUAACUAAUCGAUGGCUACCCCUCGGCCUCUCUCUCUCUCUCUGUAUAUGUUUGUGUCCUCCGGUGGUGAAUACAAGGGACAGUCUUUAGCUUUCAUGUGGGUUUAACAAAGGGUUUCUUACAGAGUUUAUUGGCAUUCUGUCCACCUCCUUGUUGAAAUCUCUCUUUCUCUCUCUCUCUCUCUCUCUCUCUCGCUCGAGUAUUUUUAUGGAGGUGGGCAUACUGCCAACUGAGCUCUGUUGGUCUCUCUUUGUAAAACCCUCGUGAUUUUUCCUUCACUUCUCUCUCUUCUGCGACAAAGGUCAAGGUAAACUACUUUUUGCACUUUCUUCGUCUAUUUUUUUUUUUCAUAAAUUCGUGUUAAUUUUUUUUUCUUUUUUAUGUUUGUAAUGAUCGGAUGGUGUUAGUUUCAUGCCCUCAUAGCCAUGUACUCUUUAUCACCCAAACUUCACUUUCUAUUUUCUGCAAGAAUAUGAGGGAAAGGGGAAAAAAAAUGAAGGAAACGACUUGUUUAAAGUACUUCCUUUUAACAAUCUGUAGUUCAACAGAUUGUCCAAUUAUCUGCAAAAUAUGAUUGAUGGAGGCUAUGAUCAAAUAUUGAAGCACAAGUCUUCACUUUGGUUUCGUCAAAUUUCAGAUCUUUAUGUGUGGCUGUUAGAUUUUGAAGCUGAACUUCAUAUUUAAACCCUUAUUUUUUAUUUGCCCAUCUCUUUCUUUUCUGGGGUUCUGUUGUUUCUUUUUAUUUGAUCAAGCAGUGCAUAAUACUAAGAUUUUUUCUUUUCGUCUUCGUUUAUAUCGCUUCCGAUCUAGGGUUUUGUCAGUCCUGUUUUCUGUUUCUUGUUCUUGUCUCUUAAAAUCUAAACCAGGGAGUUAGGGCUCAAUAUUGAAGAGAUUCAAGAUUUCGGAGGAGCUUGUAUUCCAUUAGUGAAGGCCGCCGAUACGCUCCUAUACCCAAACGGUGGCUAAGAGCUGUAAAUUUGCAAUCAUCUUCUCGACAUGUAUGGUAUAUCUGCAGAUAUAAAACACCGAUUAUGCAAGAUUAAUUAUCAGAUCACAAUUAAAGGGCAUGUCCUUCAUUUUUAGGGCAGACCUAUUACUGUAUACGUUUCUACGCUCGCCGAGCCUCAGUAUACGUAGGCUCAUGAUUGAAGACUGACACCGCUUUUAAAUUGAUGUAAAACAAUAUGCCCACAUCCUAUUGUAGGGAGGUGGAUGUCACAUCCAAUCUCGCGACUGAGAUGCUCCUUCUCAACUCUCAAGUCAAAGAAUUGACUGGGAAACGGAUUCUUAUUGGUUCGUGGGUUCACGCAGAAUGAAUGGCGAUUGGAGAGAUUGGUUUGUAUUCGUAAGGGGAGGGGUAAGGAUGGAUUUUCCUUUACUUUUAGUACCAUGGAGGCUCUCCUUCUGAAAAGCCACUUUCGUUUUGGAGAUGAAGGUGUUGCUUUUUAAGGCUUCUGUUCUAUUCUAUUCCUUUUGGGUCAAAUGGGAUUUGAAUUUAGUCAUGGGUAGGACAAGAGAGAGUUAAAAUAAAAGUUGGAUUUUGAUGAUAAUUUAUAAUUAUUCUAGCGGGGACCAUAAUGGCAGUGCAAGUGAGAGUGGCCACUUUUCACUUGUUCACUUCACAAAACUGAGGAUUGGAAUUGGAGGGACCAUUUCUUUUAUAAUGGCAAUGUAACACAUUUUGCUGGAAGGCGGAAAUCUUGACUUGCUAUUACCAGCGCGCGAUUACACCUUCUUGUUAUAUAAAAUAAACAAUAAUUUAAAGAGUAAUUUAUUCA